rnacentral:misc_RNA from 1 species
UCUGGUGUCUGUAUAGAGCAUGAUGCCAUCCAUAUCCAGGAAUUCCGAAGUUGUAAUCGUUUUUCCUGAUAAAAGUUUGAGGGCUUUCUGAAUUUUUCAAUUUCGAAGUGCAGUUAGUAGGAAGAUGACAAAGAUACAAGUUUGAGAACCAAGUUGCAGGCGGCGGUUAGGUUCAUAUGGUAACAGCUGCAGUUCAGAAGCACCCGCCUUUGUAAAUGGUGCCACAAGCGGGUAGAAGUCAAGGUUGUUUGGGUUGGUAGUGCUGCGUAGUUUUCACAUUAGUUUAAUAUAUAUUUUUUUACCCGAUACCUUGUUUUAGGCCA